UACAGAGGUCUCAAGCGUUGUUCGGAUUCAUUGGGCGUAAAGGGUGUGUAGGUGGCGCGCUAAGUCGGGUGUGAAAUUUCGGAGCUUAACUCCGAAACUGCAUUCGAUACUGCCGUGCUUGAGGACUGGAGAGGAGACUGGAAUUCUCGGUGUAGCAGUGAAAUGCGUAGAUAUCGAGAGGAACACCAGUGGCGAAGGCGAGUCUCUGGACGACUCCUGACACUGAGGCACGAAAGCCAGGGGAGCAAACAGG
rnacentral:rRNA from 1 species